UACGUGGGAGGCGAGCGUUGUCCGGAGUUACUGGGCGUAAAGGGUGCGCGGGCGGCCCGGCAAGUGUGCGGUGAAAUCCCCCGGCUCAACCGGGGGGGGCCCGCGCGGACUGCCGGGCUUGAGGCUCGGAGGGGGGCGCGGAAUUCCGGGUGGAGCGGUGAAAUGCGUAGAGAUCCGGAAGAACACCGACGGCGAAGGCAGCGCCCUGGCCGAGCCCUGACGCUCAGGCACGAGAGCGCGGGGAG
rnacentral:rRNA from 1 species